rnacentral:rRNA from 1 species
GAGUUUGAUCAUGGCUCAGAUUGAACGCUGGCGGCGUGCCUAACACAUGCAAGUCGAGCGGUAACAGGCGUAGCAAUACGUGCUGACGAGCGGCGAACGGGUGAGCAAUGCUUCGGAAUCUGCCCAAUGGUGGGGAAUAACUAGCCGAAAGGUUAGCUAAUACCGCAUACGCCCUUCGGGGGAAAGCGGGGGUCGCAAGACCUCGCGCCGAUGGAUGAGCCGAAGUCGGAUUAGCUAGUUGGUAGGGUAACGGCCUACCAAGGCGACGAUCCGUAGCUGGUCCGAGAGGACGACCAGCCACACUGGGACUGAGACACGGCCCAGACUCCUACGGGAGGCAGCAGUGGGGAAUAUUGGACAAUGGGGGCAACCCUGAUCCAGCGACGCCGCGUGUGUGAAGAAGGCCUGCGGGUUGUAAAGCACUUUUAGGUGGGGAUGAAAAGCACAUUGCUAAUACCAGUGUGUCUUGACCU